UGUUUUUAUAUGCCUCUUCUAAGUCAGCAGAAUAUGGUGUUUGGGAGCUUUGAGAAGAUUCGGACACUGAAAAGUGAACAGAAAUGAGGACCCUGAGAUCAUGACCUGAGCCAAAGGCAGAGGCUUAACCCACUGAGCCACCCAGGCACUCGGAAGGGCAGUCCUAAUCCCCGGGGAUGACUCACCAUCAGAGACUCGCCUCUGUGUGGUGAACCUUAGGUAACAACAACGCAAAGUCGGCAGAGACCGAGGGAGGCCUCAGAGUUUACUCAGAACAGCAUUAACCUGUAGGCUCUCCAUCUAGUCAACACACGCAAGAGACUAUGGGAACUCCCUUGUCCGUACUCCGCUAAAAUGACAGCAAUUCAUACACAAGAUUAUUUUGUUGUGAGGAGAGAAUAACAUCAACGGCGCUAACAAUCCUAAAACAGGAUUCAGUGUUAUGAAAACUGUGAUGUGACCCUGUCCUUUUCACGAAUGAUCCAGAAAAUGUCAACACUCCCUAGAAUGAAGGCCUGCCCACACAAUCCAAUGAGGUAGUUUUGGAAUGUUGGUGAGGUCAGGAGCUGACCACCAAGAAAGAAUUCUUGAUUCAUCUUAGGUGCAAAACGGUGAUUUUCUUAAACCCCGGAGACAGGACCCAUGGGCAGAAAGAGGUGCACUGGGGUUGUCAGAGGUGGCUGAUUAUUUACCUUCAAGUUGGGAGGGGGUUAGGGACAGAACAAACCUCCCAGGUAGUCUGGAAGCAAGGUUUCCAGGAUCCGGAGGGGGCCAGCUAUUGUAAGGAAAAGGUCAUUUAUUACCGUUUAGUAAAAACUCCAUCAUGAGACUCUUGAGAUGUGUAUCGGUGGGUCAUAUGCUUGGGGGAGGGCUGCCAACAGGUAUCUUGGAGGGGGCAGAGAUAAACGGAGCUUCCAAAGGAAUUUCUGUAUGUUUAAAGUAGACUCACAGGAUCCCGAGGGCAGAGGGGGCGGGUUAAGAUUGCCUUUUGCCCUCAGCAAAGAGUCAACAUCAAGGCAGCUGAGUUCCCAGAGGAAGGUCGCUCUGCCUGUUUCAAGGACUUGUCAGUGCGCUCUAAGUAGUAAGAAACUUUAAUAAUUUUUCUUCUGCCUUUGUUUUUCACAUUACCAACCCACAGGAAUAGGUUGUUUGUGUGGGGGGUAUUCCGUGGUCUUCCACUGCGCCAGGUGCAAAGCGGGAACUCAACAGUGACCAUGAAAUGAGUGACCAGACGACUCAUUACGAGACAGAGAGAGAGAGAGAGAGAGAGAGAGAGAAGGCGCGGCCUUCAGGAAACACCCACUCGAGAGAAAGGUUUAGUCUAAGCCAACACACAAUUACUUUCAUUUCAUCACUGUCUCUUUUUGUAUAUACUCGUAAGCAGGAGAGAAAAAAUACACCAACAAAAAAGGUUCCCAACGUUUGUCAUUUUAUGAAAAAAUCUGCCUACAGAUCUCGUGAAGCAAGCUGAGUUUCUUCUGGGAGACUAACACAGCGGGGACCCUUCUCUUCCACCUGCCCUUUAAGGAGGCUGGUGUAUAAACUACGGCCCUGGGUAAUGAGACAAGAUUUUAAAGCACUUAAAGAAAACACAAACAUCCUACUGUGCGAGGGUGACACGCGAUGCAACAUACACACGGCUCUGACCUCAGGGGAGCUGCCGGCGCACAGCGCUGCAGAGAGGUGACCUGAUCAGCAUUUGGGGUAAACAGUCUCAGGACUUAGAACUUCCUUUAUCCAUCGUCCCUGUCUGCACUCGACCAACUCUGUUUACUCUUCGCGCAGGAGGCAAUUCAUGACAAGGCUCUUGACGACAAACAAGCUUUUUGGUUUGGGCUCAGCUUUACUAUUUCGUAAACUUACUUACAAAAACCCAUGUUGGGGGGGGCACCUGGGUGACUCACGGGUUAAGCCUCUGCCUUUGGCUCGGGUCAUGAU